UCCCUCGAAGCAUUGGCGGUGAUGCAAUAGACUUUUAAUCUAUGGAAUCGAGUUCGACUCUCGCCGGGGGAA
rnacentral:tRNA from 1 species